GACGAACCGUGCGAACGUUAUUCGGAAUCACUGGGCUUAAAGCGCGUGUAGGCGGGACGGCACGUCGGUCGUUGAAAGCCCCCCGGCUCAACCGGGGAACCGGCGCCGAUACGACCGUCCUGGAGGGACGUAGGGGGACCUGGAACUUCCGGUGGAGCGGUGAAAUGCGUUGAGAUCGGAAGGAACGCCCGUGGCGAAAGCGAGGUCCUGGACGUUUUUCUGACGCUGAGACGCGAAAGCCAGGGGAGCGAACGGG
rnacentral:rRNA from 1 species